rnacentral:rRNA from 1 species
CAGUCGCCACGGUAAUACGAAGGGGGCUAGCGUUGUUCGGAAUUACUGGGCGUAAAGCGCACGUAGGCGGAUAUUUAAGUCAGGGGUGAAAUCCCGCAGCUCAACUGCGGAACUGCCUUUGAUACUGGGUAUCUUGAGUAUGGAAGAGGUUAGUGGAACUGCGAGUGUAGAGGUGAAAUUCGUAGAUAUUCGCAGGAACACCAGUGGCGAAGGCGGCUAACUGGUCCAUAACUGACGCUGAGGUGCGAAAGCGUGGGGAGCAAACAGGAUUAGAUACCCCAGUAGUCCCUGUCUCUUAUAC